AGGCUCGGCGUUGGCCUCCGCGGCCCGUGCGAGUGCGCCCUUCUCGGGUCCCCUAGGUCGCGGGGCAGCCGGGGCGGAAGGGGCUUGUUCAUUAUUUUGAGAGUUUGUUGUGAACGUCAUAACCUUUCGUCCUUAAAUAUUGCCGAUACUUGACCUACGCAAGAGACAAUGUCAUGUGAUUCAGCCUAAUAUCUCAGAGGAUGCAGCAUUCAAGGUUCUAUCUUGGAAGCAGAGACUGUGCCCUCACCAGAUGCUGAACCUGCUGAGCACCCUGAUCUUCCACUUCACCUUCAUCAGAACUGUUUUCGUAUCAGGAUGAUGCUGGCCUCAUACAAUGAGUUAGGGACGCGCAUGAAAUUUGGUGCCGUGACUCGGAUCGGCGGACCUCCCUUAGGAGAUCAAUCCCCUGUCCUCCUGCUCUUUGCUCCAUGAGAAAGAUCCACCUACGACCUAAGGUCCUCAGACCAACCAGCCCAAGAAACAUCUCACCAAUUUCAAAUCCGAAAUCCUUCAUCUAAUCUGGCAAACACAUGUGGCAGGUUUUUCUCACCGCAUAAAAUAUGUUAUAGAGUAGUCCAUCUAUUUCUCUUCCAUGGAAGAGUUCAUCUGGUAGAUUGGACUACCACUUUUCCUUGUGGAGACCUAUUCUGUUGGGUUAGAGAUGACAGAAAAUCUUAUUUGUCGGUUGGUUUGUUUGUUCAAGAAUACACUGACCUUCUACAAGAAAGGAGAGCUCUUUGACACCUGGAAAUUUUACAGAAGCUUGGGACAGCUCUGAAUGGCAACACGGUCCUGAGAUAUGUGAUUACCUGGGACUUUCAUUGGACCUGCAUUUCAGCUCUACUCUCCUCACUGCCCUAUGCUGCUUUGACCCUAAAAGUGAAGCCAGCUUGGCCAGGUGCAGUGACUCACACCUGUAAUCCCAGCACUUUGGGAGGCCGAGGUGGGCAAAUCAAGAAGUCAGGAAAUCGAGACCACCCUGGCCAACAUUGUGAAACACCAUCUCUACUAAAACACAAAAAAAUUAGCCAGGUGUGGUGGCACGCACCUGUAGUCCCAGCUACUCGGGAGGCUGAGGCAGGGGAAUCACUUGAACCCGUGAGGAGGAAAUUGCAGCGAGCCAAGAUCGCGCCACUGCACCCCAGCCUGGGCGACAGAGAGAGACUCCAUCUCAAAAACAAAACAAAACAAAACAAAAAAAACAAAAAGUGAAGCCAACUCAAUUGUCUCAUAGAACUGAUCUUUACGGUGUUUUUAAAUAAACAUAGAAAUUGGCCCUCCCAGUCUUAAAACUUCAAAAACUUACAUUUGUCUUACCUCAGUUCCUUUCUCAGGAAUCCAAUCAUCAAGGCUCCCAGAUAGUAUCAAUGAACGGAAACUUACCAGAUCACGAUAUCUGGACAAUGAGAUGUCAGAUCCCCCUCAUCCAUCCUGAUUACCUAACUGACUACCUGCUUCCUGUUGGCCAACUACUCUUCCUUACCCCUCCCUAAUUCUUGUUUUCCCACAAAUGGUUACAUUUCUGUCCUGCUAUAGAAGCCCUUAAUUUUAAUUGGUCGAGGAGAUGGAUUUGAGACUGAUUUUUUGCUCUCCUUGGCUGUUGCACCUGAAUAGCCUUUUUCCCUGGCAAUACUUUUUGUCUCAGUGAUUGGCUUUCUGUGCAGUGAGCAAUGGGACCAAACUUCUGGUGUUUUGGUAACAAAUUUUGGUUUCCUGACUGUGAAUGCAUUGCUUGUGACUCAGCUGCCAUGAGCUGGGAGAGUUUCAAAAGCCCUCUAAGCAGCUACCUGACCAUUUUGGCCAGAGGUGGAUUUUCGUCUCUCCCCAUUUGGGCCCACUUCUGCCAACCCCAACCAUGUUCCUGAUUGCCUAGGAAGAACAGCCUUUGAAAUUUGACGUCUAUGUACAGAAAGGUGAGUGUCUUUUAUGGGUACUAGACAGUGGGAAUGGUUCCUCUCCAUUUGGGAAAUCCCAAAGGCAUAUCAGUUUGCAGGUUAAACAAGCCAAACUGAUGGAGAGAGGAUAAUACCUUGACUGAUUCAGUUUGAACACUCUUGGGGCUUGUUCAUUGCUACAGAAGUUGGAUUGUGUUUUGGUGAUUGUUUGCUUGUGUAUGUCUAUGUAGUUAUGGGAUGUCAGGGUUUGAUCCCAGAGUGCAGCCCACAUGGGUGCAUUCUUUGGGUUAGUCUGUAUGUAGUUGUGGGUUGACAGAGCAGGGGAAAUUCUACAGCCAUACCACUCUGAGUGUGGCUGAUCUUGUCUGAUCGCGAUGUCUUUGCAUUGUAGUGCUGUCUUACAAUUGAAUUCAUUUUGCUGUUGAAUGGGAAAGCAGGAUGGAGGUCCAUGUAUGUAUGCUUUUAUGCUGCUGCUCUGAACAGGGUUGGGCCUGAUUAGUACUGUGAUGCUCUUCUGUGGUGCUGUUUGGCCCCAGUGUUCUUUGGAAUCCGGGGAAUUUUGGCCUUUAAAAGUUAAACUGCCAUGGGAACUGAUUUACCCAGUUUUAGUUCAUAGCCUUCAUUGUAUUAUCUAUCAGGGCAAAAAAGUUAGCCGUGUGAACAUGUUCGUAAACCAGUGAGUUUGUAUUGCUAUCUCAUGCCUAGAAUUCUAAAGUAAAAACUAUUGGGUCUUUGUUUGUAUAUAUGUAUAUGGGUCUAAAUGUUAUGUGUUGUUUUUACAGGGUACAGAUUGGCUCAUAAAUAAAAGAGCACUCAUAAAUUAAGUGAA
rnacentral:lncRNA from 10 species